AGAAAGUUAGUCUAAACAAGACAGUUGAUUUCGACUCAACAGAUUAUAGCCAUCACCCUAUAACUUUCUU
rnacentral:tRNA from 2 species